GGCUGGUUGGAUGGCAGUGGGUUAUCAGAACUUAUUAACAUUAGUGUCACUAAAGUUAGUAUACCCCCCCACAGCUAAAUUUGACUGGCUUUAA
ensembl:misc_RNA Y_RNA Y RNA